rfam:Ictidomys tridecemlineatus contig014268, whole genome shotgun sequence.
GGGGAUAUAACUCAGUUGGUAGAGUGCUUGCCUUGCAUGUGCAAAGUCCUGGGUUGGAUCCCCAGUGCCCCCG